GAAGCACACCAACAAUAAGAAAACAUAUAGCCACUGUUUAGUUCAGCUUCUGGGCUGCUUCUGGCCGCCAGAAGCAGAAGUGGCUCCUAAACGCCUAGCUUUUGGGGCAGCUUUUCGGCGCCGCGCUUCGCUCAGAAGCCGCCCGCCUACAGGAAACCAAAAGCCGCCCGCAGUUAGUGUCCGCUGGAAGCCGGGGUCAUUUCGCUAAGGUUCGACCGCGCGGCGCCGCAGCUCUCUCCCCUCGCAACUCCCGCCGUCGCCGCCGCCGCAGCGGGACGCGGGCCUCGUCCGCAGUCCCUCUGCUUCAUCCGCCGCCUUCCUCGUCGUCUUCGCAGGGUUUUGACCGCGCCGCCGCAACUCCGUCGCCACAUUCUGCAGGCAUCGUCAAGGUUGGACUCCUCCCCCAUCGCAUCGUCGUCUUCGCAGAUUUCGGCGACUAAUCUGGUAGUUCCUGUUGCGUCCGAAGAUCCAGUGGUACCAAGAUGGAUUCAGUAGACUCCAUAGCCGACAAGGCAAUUGGAAGGAUGCAAGAGAUUGCGGACAAGAUAUUUUCCGUGGCGAGGGAAACAAUCCGUCCUGGACGCGGGUUGCCCUCAUUUGACGCUACCAAACUUCGUGUAGCAUUGGAGGACAUUGCUUGCAUGCUGGAGCAAGACUCUCUGGUGUUACAAGAGUAUUUGGACAAGGUCAACAAUGUUAACAACCAACCUGACACCAACUACGAACCCUCAGACUUGUCCUCACCACCCCCUGGUGAAGAAGACCUAAGUGAAGACUGGGACUUUGCCGAGCACUUCGAAAAGUUUUGGGGUGUUGAAUAUGACUCAGAUCAGAUGCCUUCCUUUAGUGACAACGAGGUUUGAGGUAGUACGUGGUAAACAUGUUAGGGUACAGGGUUUAGGGUUAGUUCAAUAGGAACAGACUUUUGGUUAGUGCGCAGGUGUAAUCUGUUCCAUGUGUUUUGUGUCCAUGAACAAGUGGAUUAAUUUGCAGUGUGGUAUGUCUAUGUAAUAAGUCCAACCUGAAUGUUACCACUUGUGCUACUAGAAAUGGUAUUAUGGUACCAUAAUUGUGUUCUUUUUAUUUGGUUCU